CCAGCAUCUCUGUCCUUCCCCAGCCAUCGAACUGAUAAAGGACCUGAUCCACUACGACGUGCGCUUGCCUCUGCUCAAGGGCCUUGUGGCCCUGCUUAUCCCACCAGUCAAGGAGACUUCCAGACUGCAGGCCAAGAUCUUCACUGACCCUUCGCUUCUUCAGAUCAGCACCCAGCUCCCAGUGUUCCUGAAGCAGGCUGCAGCCGCCAAGACCAUUGGUAUCCUGGCGCGCAAUGACUUGAAGCUGGCAGAGGAGCUGCUGCACAUGCGCGUGGUCCACAGCCUGAUGACGGCCAUGGGCAACACCGACCACAGCAACAGCCAGAGGCUGGCCAGCCUCACGCUAGAGUUCUUUGUGCAAAUGUUCCCAUUGGUGGAGGAACAUGUCCGCAAGUCCAUGGGGGAGGAACUCUACCAGCUCUUCCUUAACAACGCCGAGCUCUUGUACACAAAAAUAGACAGCAUUCAGGCGGACAUCUUGGCAGCCAACAAAGUCAAUGUUACCAAAGGUGAGCAGAGGGUGAGGGGACCCAGUGCUCAGGCAGAGGCAGCAAUCAGU